rnacentral:rRNA from 1 species
UACGGGGGGAGCAAGCGUUGUUCGGAUUUACUGGGCGUAAAGGGCGCGUAGGCGGUCAGCACAAGUCAGUUGUGAAAUCUCCGGGCUUAACUCGGAAAGGUCAACUGAUACUGUGCGACUAGAGUGCAGAAGGGGCAACUGGAAUUCUCGGUGUAGCGGUGAAAUGCGUAGAUAUCGAGAGGAACACCCGUGGCGAAAGCGGCUCUCUGGGACGGUACUGACGCUGAGACGCGAAAGCGUGGGGAGCAAACAGG